AGAACCACAUUCGAUACUCCUACAGCACUGUGCUGUACCUGGGCUGAUAAGCCUCUCUGAGACUGAUGUGCAGAAGACAGCAGUAGCUAGCUUGGAGCACACAGAGCCAAGGCAGAGUGACAAUGAAUUUGACCUUCCUUCCAGACCUGAGCUGGCUCCAUGCAAAAAAACAGUUUACAGAAUAGAGUGGGAUUACUGUGCAGAGAUAUCUCAGCUGGCCCUGCAAAGAGCUGCUUGUAUUAAUCUGGGCUAACAUGCUUCUAGACACAUCUCAGCUUGGACCUGCCACUGGAUGGAGAGGUAUCCUGGUUCCAGGACUGAUCUCUCACACCUCUCCUCGCAAAGAAGAGAUGUUAUUACUGCUUUUUUUCUACUGUUAAAAUUUACAACCCACUUAAAUCCAAGAGAUCACCCUCUGAGAACUCUUACACUGGAACUGGAGUGAGCACAGAUGAAACAAAGAAAGGAAUUUUGCUUCUACAAUGACUAA